AGGAUGAACGCUGGCGGCGUGUUUAACACAUGCAAGUCGAACGGUGAAAGAGGAGCUUGCUCCUCUGGAUCAGUGGCGAACGGGUGAGUAACACGUGAGUAACCUGCCCUUGACUCUGGGAUAAGCGUUGGAAACGACGUCUAAUACCGGAUACGACCUCCGAAGGCAUCUUCUGGAAGUGGAAAGAAUUUCGGUCAAGGAUGGACUCGCGGCCUAUCAGCUAGUUGGUGAGGUAACGGCCCACCAAGGCGACGACGGGUA
rnacentral:rRNA from 1 species